rnacentral:rRNA from 1 species
GCUCAGAUUGAACGCUGGCGGCAGGCUUAACACAUGCAAGUCGAGCGGGGAUAGGGUGCUUGCACCUGAUUCCUAGCGGCGGACGGGUGAGUAAUGCUUAGGAAUCUGCCUAUUAGUGGGGGACAACGUUCCGAAAGGGACGCUAAUACCGCAUACGUCCUACGGGAGAAAGCAGGGGAUCUUCGGACCUUGCGCUAAUAGAUGAGCCUAAGUCGGAUUAGCUAGUUGGUGGGGUAAAGGCCUACCAAGGCGACGAUCUGUAGCGGGUCUGAGAGGAUGAUCCGCCACACUGGGACUGAGACACGGCCCAGACUCCUACGGGAGGCAGCAGUGGGGAAUAUUGGACAAUGGGGGCAACCCUGAUCCAGCCAUGCCGCGUGUGUGAAGAAGGCCUUUUGGUUGUAAAGCACUUUAAGCGAGGAGGAGGCUUACCUGGUUAAUACCUGGGAUAAGUGGACGUUACUCGCAGAAUAAGCACCGGCUAACUCUGUGCCAGCAGCCGCGGUAAUACAGAGGGUGCAAGCGUUAAUCGGAUUUACUGGGCGUAAAGCGCGCGUAGGUGGCUAAUUAAGUCAAAUGUGAAAUCCCCGAGCUUAACUUGGGAAUUGCAUUCGAUACUGGUUAGCUAGAGUAUGGGAGAGGAUGGUAGAAUUCCAGGUGUAGCGGUGAAAUGCGUAGAGAUCUGGAGGAAUACCGAUGGCGAAGGCAGCCAUCUGGCCUAAUACUGACACUGAGUGCGAAAAGUACGCG